GGGCCGUUAGCUUAGUUGGUAGAGCGCCGCGUUUGCAACGCGGAGGUCGUCGGUUCGAAUCCGACACGGUCCA
rnacentral:tRNA from 1 species